ensembl:lncRNA
GGGAUCAAGUUCCUUUGGGUGGUUACCACGCGUCUAUCCCGCCAAGGGCCUUCCUUUCCUUUCCCCAUCUCUCCUCCCCCAGCCUGGAGGGAGGAGGGUCUAAUUCAACUACCGGUCGGUUUGCGGGUGGAGAUUGCCCAGGCCUGCGUUUUGGUUUCCAGCCCCACAGCUCUGGCAACGUGACCCAGAAGCCUAAGGCUGGGCGUGGGGGCAGCGGGCCGCCCUGGAUUCGGCCAAGAACCCUAGCAAGGCCCGGGAGGUCCAGCGGCCGCCGCUGGCUCCACGAAGCCUACAACAACCUGGCCUCCUUGUAUGUGCGAGAAGGUGGGGGGCGGGGGGGCGUGGGAGGCAUGGGGGGUGCGAGGCCCCCCUCUGGGUGCAGUUCAAUGGGGAGGUUUGGUAGGAGCUUCUCCUGCCGCCUCACAUUUUCCGCCCUGUGGCCCCAGAGCCCAUGUAUCUUCUGUUCCUGCAGGAGGAGUCCUAAGUCCGGAAAGCUGAAGGCCCAGAAGCUGCUGGAGCCGGACCUGGGCUUCCCCGAAGAAACGCAGGACAAGCAUUUGUUGCCAUCGGGGAUUACAAUGGACAUGUCGGUCUGGGUGUCAAGUGCUCCGAGGAAGUAGCCACUGCCAUCCGUGGGGCCAUCAUCCUGGCUAAGCUGUCCAUCGUCCCCGUGCGAAGGGGCUACUGGGGGAACAAGAUCGGCAAGCCCCACACGGUUCCUUGCAAGGUGACUGGCCGCUGUGGCUCCGUGCUGGUGCGCCUCAUCCCUGCCCCCAGAGGCACUGGCAUUGUCUCCGCCCCUGUGCCCAAGAAGCUGCUGAUGAUGGCCGGCAUCGACGACUGCUACACUUCUGCCAGGGGCUGCACCGCCACCCUGGGCAACUUCGCCAAGGCCACUUUUGAUGCCAUUUCCAAGACCUACAGUUACCUCACUCCUGACCUCUGGAAAGAGACGGUGUUCACCAAGUCUCCAUAUCAGGAAUUUACUGACCAUCUUGUGAAGACCCACACCAGAGUCUCCGUGCAGAGGACCCAGGCCCCAGCUGUAGCCACCACAUAAUUUUAUAACAUAAUUUUACAAAGAGAAUAAUAAAGUGAAUGAAACUGGAAAAAAAAAAAAAUGUAUUUUUCUCUUACAACCAGGGAUAGCUCUGCUCUAUAAACACAUGUCCAGACCUGAGCAAAUGAGGGAGCUCUGCCAUCCUCAGUAAGUGCCUUGCAACGUUGUCGGUCCUGGCUAGCAGGAAGGAAAGGGUUCAGCAACCCCAGGGCAGGCUUUUUAAGAUGACUUGAAAUGAUUUCUCAGUUCCACUCACAUUCCAUUGAGGUAAAUGAGGGAGAUUGUGAAAUGUAGUCCCUGUGUGGACAACUAUAUGCUCAGGGAAAAGGGGGGAUGGAUUUGAUGGGACAAGCCAUAGACUCAAACAGUCUUGCCUGGAGAAUCCCAAGGACAGAGGAGCCUGGUGGGCUACAAUGUAUAGUGUUACAAAGAAUCAGACAGGACUGAAGUGACUGAGCAUGUGCACAUGCCAUAGUUUCCUUUAUACCAUUCCAUUGAUCUGUAAAGCCAGCUGCUUCUGGAUGAUGAAAUACAUAAGAUUGGUCAAUAUCAUGAAAUUUAGCCUGUUUUUGAAACUGCAAUAUGAAUUCUUUUUAAAUUUUUUAUUAAUUUAUUUAAAUUGGAGGAUAAUUACAAUAUUGUGAUGGAAUAUGAAUUCUUAAGAUGCAAAGUUGUAUGGGAAAUAAGGCAGUCAUAAGGCAUAGACUAACUUUAUGGGAGAUAAUAUUGGCAGAAUCUUGAUGUUUGGUGAAGGCAUAUCCAA